rnacentral:rRNA from 1 species
CCUACGGGGGGCAGCAGUGGGGGAUAUUGCACAAUGGGGGGAACCCUGAUGCAGCGACGCCGCGUGGGUGCAGAAGCGCCUCGGCGCGUAAAGCCCUGUCAGCAGGGAAGAAAAUGACGGUACCGGAAGAAGAAGCCCCGGCUAACUACGUGCCAGCAGCCGGGGUAAGACGUAGGGGGCAAGCGUUAUGCGGAUUUACUGGGUGGAAAGGGGGGGCAGACGGCGAUGCAAGCGAGGAGUGAAAGCCCGGGGCCCAACCCCGGGACUGCUCUUGGAAGUGCGUGGCUGGAUUGCAGGAGGGGCAGGCGGAAUUGCUGGUGGAGCGGUGAAAUGCGUAGAUAUCAGGAGGAACACCGGUGGCGAAGGCGGCCUGCUGGACUGCAACUGACGUUGAGGCCCGAAAGCGUGGGGAGCAAACAGGAUUAGAUACCCUAGUAGUC